UCUCAGUGAUGCAAUGCCAGCGGACCCUUCUGACCCUCCCCUGUGGACUCAGGACCAGGGACAUGAAGAGGAAAGUGACUGAGAGA
ensembl:snoRNA SNORD62 Small nucleolar RNA SNORD62